AAACUAACAAGGAUUCCCCUAGUAACGGCGAGUGAACAGGGAAGAGCUCAAAUUUGUAAUCUGGCGUCCUUUGGGCGUCCGAGUUGUAAUCUAUAGAAGCGUUUUCCGUGCUGGACCAUGUCCAAGUCCCUUGGAACAGGGUAUCAAAGAGGGUGAUAAUCCCGUACUUGACAUGACCACCAGUGCUCUGUGAUACGUUCUCUACGAGUCGAGUUGUUUGGGAAUGCAGCUCAAAAUGGGUGGUGAGUUCCAUCUAAAGCUAAAUAUUGGCGAGAGACCGAUAGCGAACAAGUACCGUGAGGGAAAGAUGAAAAGCACUUUGGAAAGAGAGUUAAACAGUACGUGAAAUUGUUGAAAGGGAAACGAUUGAAGUCAGUCGUGUCCAAGGGGUUCAGCCGGUUCUGCCGGUGUAUUCCUCUUGGACGGGUCAACGUCAGUUUGGAUCGGUGGAAAAGGGCGGUUGGAAGGUGGCAGCUCCGGCUGUGUUAUAGCCAUCCGUCGCAUACACUGGUUCAGACUGAGGCAUGCAGCUCGCCCUCGUGGCUGGGGUUCUCCCACAUUCGAGCUUAGGAUGUUGACAUAAUGGCUUUAAACGAC
rnacentral:rRNA from 1 species